UCCAUUGCGGCCAUCUGGAAUCGCCUCGCCGCUCCGUGGACUCGUCUCGCCGCUGCCGCUUGGAGUGUCCGCCGCCGCCACCUGUUGGCCGUCACCAGCAAGGCCAAUAUUCAGUUGAGAGGCUGGGAAGCAUCAAGCAAGUAUCAUUGGCAUGAGGAUUCAGUAAAUUGAUGAUCAUUCAGUCAUCGAGAUGACUUGAUGAAAAGAGGCAUGGAUGCAACUUAUGGGGCAGUAUUUUGAUCUCAUCUCAUGCAUUUCAUUAUUCUUUAUAACAUGCAAUUUUAUUAAAUAUUUAUCUAUACUUGCCGUAUCGCUGUAUUGACAUUUCUAGAAAUUGCCGUAUCCCGUAUCCCCAUACCCAUAUCGCCCUAUCCGUGUUGCCGUAUCGGUGCUACG